rnacentral:snoRNA from 1 species
UAUAAAGAUGAAAUGUAUCAUCAGACCUGUUCUGACUCUUCUGGAGAUAACACGAUAUUGCCUUUUAUUUCUGAUC